rnacentral:rRNA from 1 species
GUGCCAGCCGCCGCGGUAAUACGUAGGGUGCGAGCGUUAAUCGGAAUUACUGGGCGUAAAGGGUGCGCAGGCGGUUCUGCAAGUCAGGCGUGAAAGCCCCGGGCUUAACCUGGGAAUGGCGCUUGAAACUACAGGACUGGAGUAUGGCAGAGGGAGGUGGAAUUCCACGUGUAGCGGUGAAAUGCGUAGAGAUGUGGAGGAACACCGAUGGCGAAGGCAGCCUCCUGGGCCAAUACUGACGCUCAUGCACGAAAGCGUGGGGAGCAAACAGGAUUAGAUACCCUGGUAGUCC